rnacentral:rRNA from 1 species
GUCUACAGGCAUACCACCCUGAACACACCUGAUCUCAUCUGAUCUCAGAAGCUAAGCUGGUUAGUACUUGGAUGAAAAAAUUCACAGGACAGAAUAUC